rnacentral:rRNA from 1 species
GAGACUCUGUGCGCGUGCAUAUCAAUAAGCGGAGGAAAAGAAACUAACAAGGAUUCCCUUAGUAACGGCGAGUGAAGCGGGAAGAGCUCAAAUUUGAAAUCUUCAAGGUUCUACCUUGACGAAUUGUAGUUUAUAGAAGUGUUUUCUGUUAGUGGAGUGGCAAAAGUUCUUUGGAAUAGGACAUCAUAGAGGGUGAGAAUCCCGUAUUUGACCAUUAUUUUCAGCUGUGUGAUACACUUUCAAAGAGUCGGAUUGUUUGGGAAUGCAGUCCAAAAUGGGUGGUAAAUUUCAUCUAAAGCUAAAUAUUGGCGAGAGACCGAUAGCGAACAAGUACCGUGAGGGAAAGAUGAAAAGAACUUUGAAAAGAGAGUUAAACAGUACGUGAAAUUGUCAAAAGGGAAGGGUUUGACACCAGUGUUGUUUUUCUGAAAAUCAAUUAAAGAACUGUUUAUGCUAAGCUGUUUAGACUUUAUCAGCUAACUGUUUAGUUUUGAGCUUUUCUUUAAUGCACUUUUCAGUUAACAAGUCAACAUCAAUUUCUUUUGCUGUAAAAAAGCUUGAGGAAGGUGGCUUGAGAUUCGUCUUAAGUGUUUAUAGCCUCUUGCCUAUGCAGUCGGAGAGAUUGAGGUCUGCAGCGUAGAUCCUUCGGGGCUAAAUGCAUUUGUGCUAAGUUAUAGCAUUUUAUAGACAACUUGUUGACUAUGAUUUGUCUUGUAGCUUACUCGCUUAUGUUAUUUUACCUACGCUUAGGAUGUUGAUCUGUAGUGCGUGCGC